GACGAACGCUGGCGGCGUGCUAACACAUGCAAGUCGAACGAGAAGAGAUGAGAAGCUUGCUUCUUAUUGAUUCGAGUGGCAAACGGGGUGAGUAACGCGUAAGCAACCUGCCCUUCAGAUGGGGGACAACAGCUGGAAACGGCUGCUAAUACCGAAUACGUUCUCUUUAUCGCAUGGCAGAGGGAAGAAAGGGAGGCUCUUCGGAGCUUUCGCUGAAGGAGGGGCUUGCGUCUGAUUAGCUAGUUGGAGGGGUAACGGCCCACCAAGGCGACGAUCAGUAGCCGGUCUGAGAGGAUGAACGGCCACAUUGGGACUGAGACACGGGCCCAGACUCCUACGGGAGGCAGCAGUGGGGAAUCCUCCGCAAUGGGGGCAACCCUGACCGAGCAACGCCGCGUGAGUGAAGAAGGUUUUCGGAUCGUAAAGCUCUGUUGUAAGAGAAGAACGUGUGUGAGAGUGGAAAGUUCACACAGUGACGGUAACUUACCAGAAA
rnacentral:rRNA from 1 species